ACCAGACUCCUACGGGAGGCAGCAGUGAGGAAUAUUGGUCAAUGGACGAGAGUCUGAACCAGCCAAGUAGCGUGAAGGAUGACUGCCCUAUGGGGUGUAAACUUCUUUUAGAAAGGAAUAAAACGAGGCACGUGUGGCGGUUUGCAUGUACGUGAUGAAUAAGGAUCUGCUAACUCCGGGCCGUCAGCCGCUGUAAUACGGAGGAUCCGAGCGUUAUCCGGAUUUAUUGGGUUUAAAGGGAGCGUAGAUGGGUUGUUAAGUCAGUUGUGAAAGUUUGCGCCUCAACCGUAAAAUUGCAAUUGAUACUGGCAGUCUUGAGUACAGUUGAGGUAGGCGGAAUUCGUGGUGUAGCGGUGAAAUGCUUAGAUCUCCCGCAGAACCCCGAUUGCGAAGGCAGCUUACUAAACUGUGACUGACAUUGAUGCUCGAAAGUGUGGGUAUCAAACGGGAUUAGAUACCCGCGUAGC
rnacentral:rRNA from 1 species